rnacentral:rRNA from 1 species
UAAACGCUGGCGGCGUGCUUAACACAUGCAAGUCGAACGGAGUGGUCCUCCCGAAGACCUGAUUGAGCUUGCUCUUGAUGGAAUUCAUUUGGAUCACUUAGUGGCGGACGGGUGAGUAACGCGUGGGUAACCUGCCCUAUACUGGGGGAUAGCAGUUGGAAACGACUGAUAAUACCGCAUAAGCGCACAGCAUCGCAUGGUGCAGUGUGAAAAACUCCGGUGGUAUAGGAUGGACCCGCGUCUGAUUAGCUAGUUGGUGAGGUAACGGCCCACCAAGGCGACGAUCAGUAGCCGGCCUGAGAGGGUGUACGGCCACAUUGGGACUGAGACACGGCCCAAACUCCUACGGGAGGCAGCAGGUGGGGAAUAUUGGACAAUGGGGGAAACCCUGAUCCAGCGACGCCCGCGUGAGUGAAGAAGUAUCUCGGUAUGUAAAGCUCUAUCAGCAGGGAAGAUAAUGACGGUACCUGACUAAGAAGCACCGGCUAAAUACGUGCCAGCCGCUGC